GGGGUCACGACCCACAGGUUGAGAACCGCUGCACUAGAGCAUGCUAAGAGGUAGAAAGAGGCUGGUAAUCUACCUGGCUAAGAUGUAACUUUGCCCCUAGCUUGGUUCCAUGACUGCCAACUCUCAAGUCCUUGGGGAUAAGUGGGGACCCAGAAAGCAAGGUACCAAAACUUUGCAGUGUCAGGGAUCCUGAAGCCAGAGCUGUCAAGAUCAACUUUAAUGGGCAGCACGCAGCCCACCAAACAUCUUAGAGGGAGCGAACACAUGCAGAAACCGGCCAUGGUGGCAAGGUUCUCGUCUAGGUCUCCUUCGGUAUUGAAUCUGAGACUGAAGCCUCUUCUUUCCAGGGCUCCAUGGAUUGCUGACAGUGACGUGGAGAGCGAGACACAGUGCUGGACUAAUGCUAGGUGUACGGAGGGUACCUUCUCACUCGCUUCGCCACUUUCGGUCAGUUUGGCUUACUCUCUCAUACUGUAUCUAGUUAACUUGUCCUCUCAGCUGGUGAGUUGUAGUGGCGCAUAAAUGGGGAAAUGGAAAAUAUUGAUCAGCCUUGUAUAAAGCCUGCCAAAGUUUUUCAUCAUCCCUUCUCACGUUCAUCAAAUACCAGGGAAAUAAUAUGGAGGUGGCCUUUUAUUUGGACUGUUGGAUGUAACCAAUGAACCGAAUACUUGAAAGCAAUUUGCUAUUUGGAGAAGCGGUUAUUGAUUCUCCCAGCAUGGCCCAUUGUUGAUACAGAAGACUGUCAUAUGAAAUAGAGAGAGUAACAGAAACCAAAGAGAGGACUCCAGCGUCUAACCAAAGGCAUGCCACAAGGGAUGAGAAGGGGCAGAAGUAUCAAAGAAUGAAUGAACGGUGCAAGAGACAGCUGUGCAUGGACAGCCUCUGUUUUUUGGUCCAGAAGAAACAGAAAUUCACGGGAGACAAUGAGUCCCAAACUCCCCCUUGAUUAUGAACAAGAGGUCCCCGGAUUUCAGAGUGCAGCUGGCAGCAGGGAUUCCCGGGGGCAUAUCUGGUGCUGGACGUGACUGGCUUCUACUGACACCAGCACCCAGGACAAACUUCGGUGAAGAGACAGAGGCCGAGAGGUGGUGGAGCCCUGCUUCCGCACACAGACAAUUAUGAUCAUGAACUGGGAGCCAUGUGGAAAGAAGACAAGAUUGGAAUUCAGUCAAGAUCCUGCCCUGGGUUUCUUUCAGAUUACCUGCCAAUCAGCCAUCUGGUCUCUCAAGCCUGGAUGACUGCCUCUUCUCGGAUUCUAGACCCUCCCUUCAAUUUGUCCCGCUUGCAUUUCAUCUCCCUCAA